CUACGGGUCGCAGCAGUGAGGAAUAUUGCACAAUGGGGGGAACCCUGAUGCAGCAACGCCGCGUGGAGGAUGACGCAUUUCGGUGUGUAAACUCCUUUUAUAUGUCAAGAAAAUGACGGUAGCAUAUGAAUAAGCACCGGCUAACUCCGUGCCAGCAGCCGCGGUAAUACGGAGGGUGCAAGCGUUACUCGGAAUCACGGGGCGUAAAGGACGCGUAGGCGGGUUGGAAAGUCAGGUGUGAAAUCCUACAGCUUAACUGUAGAACUGCACUUGAAACUUCUAAUCUAGAGUAUGGGAGGGGGAGAUGGAAUUAGUGGUGUAGGGGUAAAAUCCGUAGAUAUCACUAGGAAUACCUAAAGCGAAGGCGAUCUCCUGGAACAUUACUGACGCUAAGGCGUGAAAGCGUGGGGAGCAAACAGGAUUAGAUACCCCGGUAGUC
rnacentral:rRNA from 1 species